rnacentral:rRNA from 1 species
AGGAAGUAAAAGUCGUAACAAGGUUUCCGUAGGUGAACCUGCGGAAGGAUCAUUAUCRUAACAACCGAGGUGCUUGAGCUGUCGCUGUCCUUCAAAGGUCGUGCACGCCCGAGUGCUCUCACAAUCCAUCUCACCCUUUUGUGCAUCCACCGCGUGGGCCCCCCCUUUGCGGGGGAGGGUUCGCGUUUUUCACAUAAAACUUGAUAUGGUCUAGAAUGUUUAUUUUUGCGGUCACACGCAAUCAAUACAACUUUCAACAACGGAUCUCUUGGCUCUCGCAUCGAUGAAGAACGCAGCGAAAUGCGAUACGUAAUGUGAAUUGCAGAAUUCAGUGAAUCAUCGAAUCUUUGAACGCACCUUGCGCCCCUUGGCAUUCCGAGGGGCACACCCGUUUGAGUGUCGUGAAACCCUCAAAGUCCUCUUUUCUUUCAUCGGAAUGAGGAUUUUGGACUUGGAGGUUCAAUGCUUGCUUUCAAAAGCGAGCUCCUCUUAAAUGAAUUAGUGGGGUCCGCUUUGCCGAUCCUUGACGUGAUAAGAUGUUUCUACGUUUUGGAUUUGGCACGGUUUUCUCUGCUCCUAACCGUCCCAUGGACAACAUAAAACAAACCUUGACCUCAAAUCGGGUGAGACUACCCGCUGAACUUAAGCAUAUCAAUAAGCGGAGGAAAAGAAACUAACAAGGAUUCCCCCUAGUAACUGCGAGUGAAGCGGGGAAAAGCUCAAAUUUAAAAUCUGGUGGU